GAUGAAGAACGUAGCGAAAUGCGAUAAGUAAUGUGAAUUGCAGAAUUCAGUGAAUCAUCGAAUCUUUGAACGCACAUUGCGCCCUCUGGUAUUCCGGGGGGCAUGCCUGUUCGAGCGUCAUUACAACCCUCAAGCUCAGCUUGGUAUUGGGCCCCGCCGACCCGGCGGGCCCUAAAGUCAGUGGCGGUGCCGUCCGGCUCCGAGCGUAGUAAUUCUUCUCGCUCUGGAGGUCCGGUCGUGUGCUCGCCAGCAACCCCCAAUUUUUUUCAGGUUGACCUCGGAUCAGGUAGGGAUACCCGCUGAACUUAAGCAUAUCAAUAAGCGGAGGA
rnacentral:misc_RNA from 1 species